AUUUAUAUAGUAUAUAUAAAAAUUACAUUUAAUUUCCAAUUAAAAAAAUUAACUUUAUCUUAAUAUAAAUA
rnacentral:tRNA from 1 species